GACGAACGCUGGCGGCGUGCUUAACACAUGCAAGUCGAACGGAAAGGCCCUGCUUUUGUGGGGUGCUCGAGUGGCGAACGGGUGAGUAACACGUGAGUAACCUGCCCUUGACUUUGGGAUAACUUCAGGAAACUGGGGCUAAUACCGGAUAGGAGCUCCUGCUGCAUGGUGGGGGUUGGAAAGUUUCGGCGGUUGGGGAUGGACUCGCGGCUUAUCAGCUUGUUGGUGGGGUAGUGGCUUACCAAGGCUUUGACGGGUAGCCGGCCUGAGAGGGUGACCGGCCACAUUGGGACUGAGAUACGGCCCAGACUCCUACGGGAGGCAGCAGUGGGGAAUAUUGCACAAUGGGCGGAAGCCUGAUGCAGCAACGCCGCGUGCGGGAUGACGGCCUUCGGGUUGUAAACCGCUUUCGCCUGUGACGAAGCGUGAGUGACGGUAAUGGGUAAAGAAGCACCGGCUAACUACGUGCCAGCAGCCGCGGUGAUACCUAGGGUGCGAGCGUUGUCCGGAUUUAUUGGGCGUAAAGGGCUCCUAAGUGGUUGAUCGCGUCGGAAGUGUAAUCUUGGGACUUAACCCUGAGCGUGCUUUCGAUACGGGUUGACUUGAGGAAGGUAGGGGAGAAUGGAAUUCCUGGUGGAGCGGUGGAAUGCGCAGAUAUCAGGAGGAACACCAGUGGCGAAGGCGGUUCUCUGGGCCUUUCCUGACGCUGAGGAGCGAAAGCGUGGGGAGCGAACAGGCUUAGAUACCCUGGUAGUCCACGCUGUAAACGGUGGGUACUAGGUGUGGGGUCCAUUCCACGGGUUCCGUGCCGUAGCUAACGCUUUAAGUACCCCGCCUGGGGAGUACGGCCGCAAGGCUAAAACUCAAAGGAAUUGACGGGGCCCCGCACAAGCGGCGGAGCAUGCGGAUUAAUUCGAUGCAACGCGUAGAACCUUACCUGGGUUUGACAUGGAUCGGGAGUGCUCAGAGAUGGGUGUGCCUCUUUUGGGGUCGGUUCACAGGUGGUGCAUGGCUGUCGUCAGCUCGUGUCGUGAGAUGUUGGGUUAAGUCCCGCAACGAGCGCAACCCUUGUUCACUGUUGCCAGCACGUUAUGGUGGGGACUCAGUGGAGACCGCCGGGGUCAACUCGGAGGAAGGUGGGGAUGACGUCAAGUCAUCAUGCCCCUUAUGUCCAGGGCUUCACGCAUGCUACAAUGGCUGGUACAGAGAGUGGCGAGCCUGUGAGGGUGAGCGAAUCUCGGAAAGCCGGUCUCAGUUCGGAUUGGGGUCUGCAACUCGACCUCAUGAAGUCGGAGUCGCUAGUAAUCGCAGAUCAGCAACGCUGCGGUGAAUACGUUCCCGGG
rnacentral:rRNA from 1 species